rnacentral:rRNA from 1 species
GAUCCUGGCUCAGAAUCAACGCUGGCGGCGUGCCUAACACAUGCAAGUCGAACGCGAAAGGGGAGCAAUCCCUGAGUAGAGUGGCAAACGGGUGAGUAACACGUGGGUGACCUGCCUUCGAGUGGGGGAUAACGUUCCGAAAGGAACGCUAAUACCGCAUGACAUCCUGCUUUUGGAAAAGCGGAGAUCAAAGCUGGGGAUUCGCAAGAACCUAGCGCUUGAAGAGGGGCCCGCGCCUUAUUAGCUAGUUGGUGAGGUAACGGCUCACCAAGGCUACGAUCAGUAUCCGGCCUGAGAGGGCGGACGGACACACUGGGACUGAGACACGGCCCAGACUCCUACGGGAGGCAGCAGUGGGGAAUUGUUCGCAAUGGGCGCAAGCCUGACGACGCAACGCCGCGUGGAGGAUGAAGAUUUUCGGAUCGUAAACUCCUGUCGAGUGGGAAGAAUAGCUUUGGGGCGAAUAUCCCCGAGGUCUGACGGUACCACCGGAGGAAGCCCCGGCUAACUCCGUGCCAACCGCCCGGGGUAAUACGGGGGGGGCAAGCGUUGUUCGGAAUUACUGGGCGUAAAGGGCUCGUAGGCGGCCCACUAAGUCAGACGUGAAAUCCCCAGGCUCAACCUGGGAACUGCGUCUGAUACUGGAUGGCUUGAAUUCGGGAGAGGGA